ensembl:lncRNA
UUAUAAUACAACUAAAAUAAUUGUAUAAAUAAUGUCUAAAAUUAUUUGAAUCCUUAUGAGACAAGCAAACACAUUAACAACCUGAGAUGUCUUUCUUUGCUCUUUCUGUUUUCAAAAUUGCACUAAACAGGAAGACAGACAGGAAGUGGUAGCCUAAAGCAUUUUAUCUAUGUGAUCAAGACUUAGCCGUGUUAGUCAUGAAGGAGAAACGCUAAAGAAAAUUCUGUAUGUUACAUACGUAGGAUUAUUUUAAACUAAAAGUGGAAUUGGAAAAGUGAGAUUGUGACAGAUUUCCAAUGUGGGGUCAGCAAGUUCAGAGGUUAAGUGACUUUACAGAGGAGCUUCUGUCACACCGUCUUUUACCAUGACAAGAUCAGGUGCCUUAAAACUUUGCAUCCUCUUCUUUCUCACCUUCAUCCUGUGUCUACCAGAGUUUUUUCCAAAAAUAUCACAAAUUGAGUUUCUCUGUGAGCCCUUUGACCCUUGCACACCUGAGAAUGAUACACAGGUGUGUGCUCCAUAUGACCCUCCCUGUGUGAUAGAAAUGAUAAAUGCCAGCAGCCAACACACACGUUCUGAAGGCUGGUAUCUGUGUAAAACUGAAAUGGAUCUGCAGCUUCUCCAGAACAAUACCUCACCGUCAGAAGAGCAUGUGAUGGUGCUACUGACAAUGAAGGCAGGCAAUCACUCUGGAUGGAACAUUAGUGAAUUUAUGUUUCUCAACAACACUGAUCUAUACACUGCUGGACCCCAAAAUGACCAGAGACUGUUUUAUUGCAACCUCCCACCAGACAACAGCAAAUGUCCAGAUCUGAACAUAUCCAUGCAAGAAAAAAACACCAGCCCUCCAAUACAAGACCCCUCCAUUUUAAAAACCAAUACUUCUGUGAACCCAACUGCCUUUUCACUCAAAACAACUACACUGUCUUUCCAAGAAACACCUUCUACAGAUGAGCUGAAGUGUCAACCAACCAGCAGCAGUUUCCUCUUUUACUACCAGAUGAACAAUGAAACAGCAAGAUCUGCCGCAUUACCAGUAACCCAAACAAGAAAAGAUGGCUGGUGGUGUGUGAUUACUUCGGUGUGGUUGGCUCUGGUACUGACUGUGAUUGUGGUAACCCUAUUGAGUGUGGGAAACAUGAUCUUUAAGAGCAGAAAACGAAAGUCCGGUUUGGUUGCAUCUGUGCCGGUUUCAGCCCGUGGACGUCAGCUCAAAGAGCUCAGUAAACAAAAAGAAAAUUUAAUGAGUGCUGUCCCUACUGUGUCCAUAGCAAUGUGCUGCUUAAGUGAUGGGGAUGUAUUCUAUGAGAAACCGUCAAUGGGGAACAGAACAGAAGGUUUGUCACCAGUCUAUGAGAUCAUAGAACCUCACUAGAUGAAGAAGAGCAACAUGAAGAUGAAGAAGAGUUUUAAAAAAUCACAAAAAGCACAGGGCCACUGCGAACCACCAA